rnacentral:miRNA from 1 species
CGCAGCUGUUCUUUUUCCUUC